rnacentral:rRNA from 1 species
GGGCUCACACAAGCGGUGGAGCAUGUGGCUUAAUUCGAAGCAACGCGAAGAACCUUAUCCUGGGUUUGACAUGUAUGGAUUAACCCUAUGAAAGUAGGGCUACGCCUUCGGGUGGAACAUACACAGGUGCUGCAUGGCUGUCGUCAGCUCGUGCUGUGAAGUGUCGGGUUAAGUCCCUUAACGAGCGCAACCCCUGUCGCUAGUUGCUAACACGUAAUGGUGAGGACUCUAGCGAGACUGCCGGUGUUAAACCGGACGAAGGUGGGGAUGACGUCAAGUCCGCAUGGCCUUUAUGCCCAGGGCUGCACACGUGCUACAAUGGCAGGUACAGAACGAUGCAAUACCGCGAGGUGGAGCAAAUCGCAAAAGCCUGCCCCAGUUCGGAUAGGAGGCUGCAAUUCGCCUCCUUGAAGUCGGAAUCGCUAGUAAUCG